rnacentral:rRNA from 1 species
UACGUAGGUGGCAAGCGUUUGUCCGGAUUUACUGGGUUUAAAGGGUGCGUAGGCGGCUUUGUAAGUCAGUGGUGAAAUACUCCAGCUUAACUGGAGGGGUGCCAUUGAUACUGCGGAGCUUGAGUACAGAUGAGGUAGGCGGAAUUGACGGUGUAGCGGUGAAAUGCAUAGAUAUCGUCAAGAACACCGAUAGCGAAGGCAGCUUACUGGGCUGUAACUGACGCUGAUGCACGAAAGUGUGGGGAUCAAACAGG